GAUUAAGUUAUUAAGGGCGCACGGUGGAUGCCUUGGCACUAGAAGCCGAUGAAGGACGUUACUAACGACGAUAUGCUUUGGGGAGCUGUAAGUAAGCUUUGAUCCAGAGAUUUCCGAAUGGGGAAACCCAGCAUGAGUUAUGUCAUGUUAUCGAUAUGUGAUAUACAUAGCAUAUCAGAAGGCACACCCG
rnacentral:rRNA from 1 species